GGAUAACCGUGGUAAUUCUAGAGCUAAUACAUGCUAAAAACCCCGACUCACGAAGGGGUGUAUUUAUUAGAUUAAAAACCAAUGCCCUUCGGGGCUCUUUGGUGAUUCAUAAUAACUUUUCGAAUCGCAUGGCCUUGCGCCGGCGAUGGUUCAUUCAAAUUUCUGCCCUAUCAACUUUCGAUGGCAGGGUCUUGGCCUGCCAUGGUUACAACGGGUAACGGAGGGUUAGGGCUCGACCCCGGAGAAGGAGCCUGAGAAACGGCUACUACAUCCAAGGAAGGCAGCAGGCGCGCAAAUUACCCAAUCCCGAUUCGGGGAGGUAGUGACAAUAAAUACUGAUACAGGGCUCUUUUGGGUCUUGUAAUUGGAAUGAGUACAAUUUAAAUCCCUUAACGAGGAACAAUUGGAGGGCAAGUCUGGUGCCAGCAGCCGCGGUAAUUCCAGCUCCAAUAGCGUAUAUUAAAGUUGUUGCAGUUAAAAAGCUCGUAGUUGAACCUUGGGCCUGGCUGGCCGGUCCGCCUCACCGCGUGCACUGGUUCGGCCGGGCCUUUCCCUCUGGGGAACCUCAUGGUCUUCACUGAUCGUGAUGGGGAACCAGGACUUUUACUGUGAAAAAAUUAGAGUGUUCAAAGCAGGCCUAUGCUCGAAUACAUUAGCAUGGAAUAAUAAAAUAGGACGUGUGGUUCUAUUUUGUUGGUUUCUAGGACCGCCGUAAUGAUUAAUAGGGACAGUCGGGGGCAUCA
rnacentral:rRNA from 1 species